AAAAUUGAAAUUGGUUCGCCCAGGGCGAGGCUCAGCCAUUGCACUGCGGUUGUGCUGACCCCUGUGAAUUCCCCAAAUGCGGGAAUCUCAACUGCAUAAUUUGUGGUAGUGGGGGGACUGCGUUCGCGCUCUCCCCUC
rnacentral:snRNA from 1 species